AUAUUUCUCACUCUCACGCUCUCGCACCGUCUCUGCCUCUCUAUCUCCUCCUCCUGCUCCGCCUCCUCCGCCCAACCACACCACUGCAGGUGGCGAUCAACCAAUGAGCGACGCUCCCGCUCUGUGCAUCUCCUCCGCCAGCUGACCCUUCACAAAAACAAAAGAAAACAACCUUCAUUUCCGAUCAAAAUUACCAAAACACCACAAUGUCCUCCUCCCGCAAGCUCCUCUCCACUCUCCUCCGCACCUCUCUCCGCCGCUCCGCCUCCGCCACCAGACCCGCAACCUCCAAACCCCCCCUCACGCGGCCCUCGGGGUACCUCCUCUCGCGCGCCGCUCACUACUCGACGUCAUCGGCCGCAGCAGCCACCGCGCCUCCCACGCCCGCUUCGCCGUCAGUGAGUGAAAAAAUCACAGAUGAUUUCACCGGAAAGGGCGCCGUCGGCAAGGUUUGUCAGGUGAUCGGAGCCGUCGUCGAUGUUCGGUUCGACGACGGGUUGCCGCCGAUCCUCACGGCUCUCGAGGUCCUGGAUAACUCGAUCCGAUUGGUGCUCGAGGUGGCUCAGCACCUUGGUGAGAACAUGGUGAGAACCAUUGCCAUGGAUGGAACCGAAGGGCUCGUUAGAGGUCAGAGAGUCCUCAACACUGGCUCCCCAAUCACUGUGCCUGUUGGCAGAGCCACCCUUGGCCGGAUUAUGAACGUUAUCGGAGAGCCGAUCGAUGAGAGGGGUGAUAUAAAGACCGAUCAUUUUCUUCCCAUCCAUAGAGAAGCUCCGGCUUUCGUUGAACAGGCUACUGAGCAGCAGAUUCUUGUCACUGGAAUUAAGGUUGUUGAUCUUCUUGCACCUUACCAAAGAGGAGGAAAGAUUGGGCUCUUUGGGGGUGCUGGUGUUGGAAAAACCGUGCUUAUCAUGGAACUCAUCAACAAUGUUGCCAAGGCUCAUGGUGGUUUCUCAGUGUUUGCUGGCGUGGGAGAACGCACAAGAGAGGGUAAUGAUUUGUACAGAGAAAUGAUGGAAAGUGGUGUCAUUAAGCUUGGAGAUCAGCAGAGUGAGAGUAAAUGCGCUCUUGUCUAUGGACAAAUGAAUGAACCUCCUGGUGCCCGUGCUCGUGUUGGGCUCACAGGGCUGACUGUGGCUGAGCACUUCCGAGAUGCUGAAGGACAAGAUGUGCUUCUCUUCAUUGAUAACAUAUUCCGCUUUACUCAAGCUAACUCAGAAGUGUCUGCCUUGCUUGGCCGUAUCCCAUCUGCUGUCGGUUACCAACCUACCUUAGCUACCGAUCUUGGAGGCCUUCAAGAGCGUAUUACUACAACCAAGAAGGGUUCCAUUACUUCUGUUCAAGCUAUUUAUGUGCCCGCUGAUGACUUGACAGAUCCGGCUCCUGCAACAACUUUUGCCCAUCUUGAUGCCACCACUGUGCUGUCACGACAAAUAUCGGAGCUUGGCAUCUAUCCUGCGGUGGAUCCCUUAGAUUCUACAUCUCGCAUGUUGUCCCCUCAUAUUUUAGGAGAAGAUCACUACAACACUGCUCGUGGUGUUCAGAAGGUUCUUCAAAAUUAUAAGAACUUGCAAGAUAUUAUUGCUAUUUUGGGAAUGGAUGAGCUCAGUGAAGACGACAAGUUGACUGUUGCUCGUGCCCGUAAGAUUCAACGUUUCUUGAGCCAGCCUUUCCAUGUAGCAGAAGUCUUCACAGGAGCUCCUGGGAAAUAUGUUGAGUUGAAGGAGAGCAUUACCAGCUUCCAGGGAGUUUUGGAUGGGAAAUAUGAUGACCUUCCUGAGCAAUCAUUUUACAUGGUUGGCGGAAUUGAAGAAGUCAUUGCUAAGGCGGAGAAGAUUGCUAAGGAUUCGGCUGCAUAAUCACUCACAUUAAGUUGGCUCUUCUCUACAAGGCUAUAUUACCAAAGAGCUAAUGUUGGCUUUGGAAAAUCUCAGGAAUUUCAAAAAAAUUCUUUUCGGAGAAAUAUAGGUUUGUCAUUCCGGGAACUAUUUUUGGUAGGUUAAGGGUUGUGUUAGGAAGAGAAUUGAGGAAGGGACAUGUUCUGUUAGGCUCCGUUCCCCUUUGUGCAAUAAGCUUCAGCUGCUUGUAGGGUUUCUUUCUCGAAUGGAUGCAGGUCGAUCCUUCAUCCUUGGCUCUCAACGAAGGAGGUAAGUUACCACCUUUACUCAUUGAGUUGGUUUGUGUUCAGCUCUGAAAUUCUGUCUGGCUGGUGAGAAAAUGUGGGAAAAGUUGAGUCGGAAAAAAAAAUCAUUUUAUUUUUCUUUCGUGAUUAAACACGCGAGUGGUGUUUAAUCUUUACAUUGCAUUGACGUACUAAUAAAAGUACUUUCUUUA